rnacentral:rRNA from 1 species
GAUGAACGCUGGCGGCGUGCCUAAUACAUGCAAGUCGAGCGAACAGAUGAGGAGCUUGCUCCUCUGACGUUAGCGGCGGACGGGUGAGUAACACGUGGAUAACCUACCUAUAAGACUGGGAUAACUUCGGGAAACCGGAGCUAAUACCGGAUAAUAUAUUGAACCGCAUGGUUCAAUAGUGAAAGACGGUUUUGCUGUCACUUAUAGAUGGAUCCGCGCCGCAUUAGCUAGUUGGUAAGGUAACGGCUUACCAAGGCAACGAUGCGUAGCCGACCUGAGAGGGUGAUCGGCCACACUGGAACGUAGACACGGUCCAGACUCCUACGGGAGGCAGCAGUAGGGAAUCUUCCGGAAUGGGCGAAAGCCUGACGGAGCAACGCCGCGUGAGUGAAGAAGGUCUUCGGAUCGUAAAACUCUGUUAUGAGGGAAGAACAAAUGUGUAAGUAACUAUGCACGUCUUGACGGUACCUAAUCAGAAAGCCACGGCUAACUACGUG